UUCAGUUAUUGGCCCGUAAAGUGCCUCUUCUUUGUAGUUGUGAAGCCGACACUCAUGUCUAGGGUUUAUCGCCUACUGCGUUUUGCAUCAAUGGAGGUCCUGAGUCUUUAAUGGAGGUUUAUCACUUUCGUCAGUAAUCGUUGCGUUUAUGUUGCCAAGAUCAUUCAUUCAAUGAUUUGUAUCCCUCUUCCAAUCGGUGGAUCUCCACCUAUAAAAAGGGAAGGCCUCAUCCCUUGAGAAUCAUCCUCACGAUUCCAAUAGCGUUCGAUAUUUUUUCAAUAUCAUGGUUAACUCCUCUGUUCUAUUUUCUAAUUUGAAAUCCGACCAUUAAUUGUUUCUUCAAACGUGGGGGUGAAGUUGCUAAGAUUCUGGGAAACUAGGAACUUCAAACGAUGUGGCUCUUUUCAGCUAGCAUUACUCGCCUCAACAGCUUAAACAAGAGAACCCGUGAUGUGAUCGCUUCAAGUUUUAUUCAAGCUACCCUUGCACCAUUCUGGAACACUUUGUCAUGAUGCGUUGGGUCAGUAAACACUUCUGAAUCUCUUGCUUCGCAAUACAACCUUUAUGACCAAGCAGAGAAGUUGAGAUCAAAAGUACCAAGAUUUGAAGCACGUUCUAACCAACAUGUUUAUCUUUUAGUAGUUAUUUUUUCAUACCAAUUGGUUAUUGUAGCUUUCUAGAUUAUAGUUUAUAUUAUUUCUCUGAUCUCUCACUUAUGCUAGCCUUUCCAUAGUCAAUUGGAAAGUAAAUAAUAUUGGAAACACAACUCCGUUCCGUUA